rnacentral:tRNA from 1 species
GCUCCAAUGGCGCAAUGGUAGCGCGCAAGACUUCUACAAAACUACUUCCUAGUAACGUGAUCUUGAGGUUGAGGGUUCGAGCCCCUCUUGGAGUG